CUAGUACUCCCUCCAUCCGGAAUUACUUGUCAUCAAAAUGGAUGUGUCUAGAACUAAAAUACAUCUAGAUACAUCCAUUUUAAUGACAAGUAUUUUCGGACGGAGGGAGUAGUAU
rnacentral:pre_miRNA from 1 species